AGAAAAAGAUGUAGGCCUUCUAAGUUUAAAAAAAGAGACUUUUCUAUCUGUGGUCUUCAGGAAUUCUGAAAACAGCUUCAGGAUCAGAGCUGAAGUGAUGGCAAGCUGGAAACAAGCUGUAAUGAGCUGAAAAGAGGGAGCAUUAAGGUCAUGAACAUUGGACACCUGAUGUUGGAAAGGCUGCUCCAGAACGUUAUUUCUGUGUGA
rnacentral:lncRNA from 1 species